rnacentral:rRNA from 1 species
UAUUGCACAAUGGGCGCAAGCCUGAUGCAGCCAUGCCGCGUGUAUGAAGAAGGCCUUCGGGUUGUAAAGUACUUUCAGCGAGGAGGAAGGCAUUAAGGUUAAUAACCUUGGUGAUUGACGUUACUCGCAAAAGAAGCACCGGCUAACUCCGUGCCAGCAGCCGCGGUAAUACGGAGGGUGCAAGCGUUAAUCGGAAUUACUGGGCGUAAAGCGCACGCAGGCGGUCUGUCAAGUCGGAUGUGAAAUCCCCGGGCUCAACCUGGGAACUGCAUUCGAAACUGGCAGGCUAGAGUCUUGUAGAGGGGGGUAGAAUUCCAGGUGUAGCGGUGAAAUGCGUAGAGAUCUGGAGGAAUACCGGUGGCGAAGGCGGCCCCCUGGACAAAGACUGACGCUCAGGUGCGAAAGCGUGGGGAGCAAACAGGA